rnacentral:rRNA from 1 species
AGCGCAGACGGUUGAUUAAGUCUGAUGUGAAAGCCCGGAGCUCAACUCCGGAAUGGCAUUGGAAACUGGUUAACUUAAGUGCAGUAGAGGUAAGUGGAACUCCAUGUGUAGCGGUGGAAUGCGUAGAUAUAUGGAAGAACACCAGUGGCGAAGGCGGCUUACUGGACUGUAACUGACGUUGAGGCUCGAAAGUGUGGGUAGCAAACA